UGCCCCAGGUAAUGACACGCACAUUCUGUAUUUGUCUGAGGUACCAACACACCCAUUCUGUACUUGUCUGAGGUACCGACACACACAUUCUGUACUUGUCUGAAGUACCGACACACACAUUCUGUACUUGUCUGAGAUACCGACACACACAUUCUGUACUUGUCUGAGGUACCGACACACACAUUCUGUACUUGUCUGAGGUACCAACACACACAUUCUGUACUUGUCUGAGAUCCCAACCCACCCAUUCUGUACCCGCCAGUCAUCUAUCAUUCCUUAAGACUUGGAUAUUAUCCUCAUUAUACCUGUUGUUUUUGUCAUAUUCUCGUCAUUUUACAUUAAAAUCAACAGAUACAUAGAAGUGUCAAGGAAUUAAUUGGCUAUUGCAUUUUUCAUUUCAGGAACAGUUGUCAUUUUUACUUUUUAAAUCAUUAUUUUAAAUUCGAUUUUCGAAAUCCCAACGUUCAUGAAUGUCUAAAAUAACACAGAAGAUUGAAAUUGAUUAAGAGACUAUGAUCAAAUAUCUUUGUAACAUUUGCAAAUAAGCAUUGAUAAUCCUUUGAAAUUUUUUGACACUCUUUCAUUUUGAAUUUUUAGCCAUCAUCAAUAAUGUACUAGUAAAGAGAUCUAACUGUUUAGUAAGGGAAGUGGUGUACACUCUGAUGUUGAUAUCAGUAGAGUUCAUGAGGCACAAGGUCAUUCAGUUCUGACGGAAAUGAAUCACAUGCUGUGCAUUCUAGAUCCUGAUUGGCUGAUUUGAACUUAGGUAUAAAUGUGAGUUAGUGAUUGGUUGAGUACUGUGGAUGUAAUUUUUAUUUAGUACAUAUGUUCCUUUGUUAUUGUGUUACUAGGCGACCGACAUGCAAUACAUCAUUUCUUGCUUAUGACUGAGUCAAUUAGGUUGUAUUGUUUGUAAAUAAAAUCACAAAUCAUUUACA